AACGAACGCUGGCGGCAGGCCUAACACAUGCAAGUCGAGCGGACAACUUCGGAUGUUAGCGGCGGCCGGGUGAGUAAGGCGUGGGAACGCGCCCUUUGUUUCGGAAUAGCCUCGGGAAACUGGGGGUAAUACCGGAUGUACCCUUUGGGGGCAAGAGUUAUCGGCAAAGGAUCGGCGCGCGUUGGGUUAGGGAGUUGGUGGGGUAAAGGCUUGCCAAGCGGACGAGCCGUAGCUGGCUUGAGCGGCUGAUCAGCCACCCUGGGACUGAGACACGGUCCAGACGCCUACGGGAGGCAGCAGUGGGGAAUAUUGGGCAAUGGGCGAAAGCGUGAUACAGGCGUGCGGCGGGUGUGAAGAAGGUCUUCGGAUUGUAAAGCACUUUAAGUUGGGAGGAAGGGCAGUAAGUUAAUAACUUGCUGUUUUGACGUUAGCAAAAGAAUAAGCACCGGCUAACUUCGUG
rnacentral:rRNA from 1 species